GAUGAACGCUAGCGGCAGGCUUAAUACAUGCAAGUUGAGGGGCAGCAUGAUAUACGCGAGUAUAUUGAUGGCGACCGGCGGACGGGUGAGUAAUAGGUAGGAGACCUACCUCAUACAGGGGGAUAGCAUAGAGAAAUCUGUGGUAAUACCCCAUGAGGUUAUAUGAAUAGAGGCAUAUAAUCAAAGCAUAAGCGAUUAUGCGGUAUGAGAGGGGCCUACUGACCAUUAGCUAGUUGGUGAGGUAAGGGCUCACCAAGGCGAAGAUGGUUAGGGGUUUUGAGAGAGAGACCCCCCACAUUGGAACUGAGAGACGGUCCAGACUCCUACGGGGAGGCAGCAGUAGGGAAUAUUGGGCAAUGGGCGAAAGCCUGACCCAGCCAUGCCGCGUGAAGGAAGACGGCCUUAUGGGUUGUAAACUUCUUUACUACGCGAAUAGAGGUUAGUACGAGAUACUAAUAGGAAGGUAGUGUAGUAAAAGCACCGGCUAACUCCGUG
rnacentral:rRNA from 1 species